GAUGAACGCUGGCGGCGUGCCUAAUACAUGCAAGUCGAGCGAACGGACGAGAAGCUUGCUUCUCUGAUGUUAGCGGCGGACGGGUGAGUAACACGUGGAUAACCUACCUAUAAGACUGGGAUAACUUCGGGGAACCGGAGCUAAUACCGGAUAAUAUUUUGAACCGCAUGGUUCAAAAGUGAAAGACGGUCUUGCUGUCACUUAUAGAUGGAUCCGCGCUGCAUUAGCUAGUUGGUAAGGUAACGGCUUACCAAGGCAACGAUGCAUAGCCGACCUGAGAGGGUGAUCGGCCACACUGGAACUGAGACACGGUCCAGACUCCUACGGGAGGCAGCAGUAGGGAAUCUUCCGCAAUGGGCGAAAGCCUGACGGAGCAACGCCGCGUGAGUGAUGAAGGUCUUCGGAUCGUAAAACUCUGUUAUUAGGGAAGAACAUAUGCGUAAGUAACUGUGCACAUCUUGACGGUACCUAAUCAGAAAGCCACGGCUAACUACGUG
rnacentral:rRNA from 1 species